rnacentral:rRNA from 1 species
AUUGGGACUGAGAUACGGCCCAGACUCCUACGGGAGGCAGCAGUGGGGAAUAUUGCACAAUGGGCGCAAGCCUGAUGCAGCGACGCCGCGUGCGGGAUGACGGCCUUCGGGUUGUAAACCGCUUUUGACUGGGAGCAAGCCCUUCGGGGUGAGUGUACCUUUCGAAUAAGCACCGGCUAACUACGUGCCAGCAGCCGCGGUAAUACGUAGGGUGCAAGCGUUAUCCGGAAUUAUUGGGCGUAAAGGGCUCGUAGGCGGUUCGUCGCGUCCGGUGUGAAAGUCCAUCGCUUAACGGUGGAUCCGCGCCGGGUACGGGCGGGCUUGAGUGCGGUAGGGGAGACUGGAAUUCCCGGUGUAACGGUGGAAUGUGUAGAUAUCGGGAAGAACACCAAUGGCGAAGGCAGGUCUCUGGGCCGUUACUGACGCUGAGGAGCGAAAGCGUGGGGAGCGAACAGGAUUAGAUACCCUGGUAGUCCACGCCGUAAACGGUGGAUGCUGGAUGUGGGGACCAUUCCACGGUCUCCGUGUCGGAGCCAACGCGUUAAGCAUCCCGCCUGGGGAGUACGGCCGCAAGGCUAAAACUCAAAGAAAUUGACGGGGGCCCGCACAAGCGGCGGAGCAUGCGGAUUAAUUCGAUGCAACGCGAAGAACCUUACCUGGGCUUGACAUGUUCCCGACAGCCGUAGAGAUACGGUCUCCCUUCGGGGCGGGUUCACAGGUGGUGCAUGGUCGUCGUCAGCUCGUGUCGUGAGAUGUUGGGUUAAGUCCCGCAACGAGCGCAACCCUCGCCCUGUGUUGCCAGCACGUCGUGGUGGGAACUCACGGGGGACCGCCGGGGUCAACUCGGAGGAAGGUGGGGAUGACGUCAGAUCAUCAUGCCCCUUACGUCCAGGGCUUCACGCAUGCUACAAUGGCCGGUACAACGGGAUGCGACCUCGUGAGGGGGAGCGGAUCCCUUAAAACCGGUCUCAGUUCGGAUUGGAGUCUGCAACCCGACUCCAUGAAGGCGGAGUCGCUAGUAAUCGCGGAUCAGCAACGCCGCGGUGAAUGCGUUCCCGGGCCUUGUACACACCGCCCGUCAAGUCAUGAAAGUGGGUAGCACCCGAAGCCGGUGGCCCAACCUUUUGGGGGGAGCCGUCUAAGGUGAGACUCGUGAUUGGGACUAAGUCGUAACAAGGUAGCCGUACCGGAAGGUGCGGCUG